CCUACGGGAGGCAGCAGUGAGGAAUAUUGGUCAAUGGGCGAGAGCCUGAACCAGCCAAGUCGCGUGAGGGAGUACUGCCCUAUGGGUUGUAAACCUCUUUUGUCGGGGAGCAAAAGCCGGACGUGUCCGGCUGUGAGAGUACCCGAAGAAAAAGCAUCGGCUAACUCCGUGCCAGCAGCCGCGGUAAUACGGAGGAUGCGAGCGGUAUCCGGAUUUAUUGGGUUUAAAGGGUGCGCAGGCGGAUUUUUAAGUCAGCGGUAAAAUCGUGGGGCUCAACCCCAUCCAGCCGUUGAAACUGGGGAUCUAGAGUGUGCGAGAGGUAUGCGGAAUGCGUGGUGUAGCGGUGAAAUGCAUAGAUAUCACGCAGAACCCCGAUUGCGAAGGCAGCAUACCGGUGCACAACUGACGCUCAGGCACGAAAGCGUGGGUAUCGAACAGGAUUAGAUACCCGUGUAGUC
rnacentral:rRNA from 1 species